rnacentral:rRNA from 1 species
GAUGAACGCUGGCGGCGUGCCUAAUACAUGCAAGUCGAGCGAACGGACGAGAAGCUUGCUUCUCUGAUGUUAGCGGCGGACGGGUGAGUAACACGUGGAUAACCUACCUAUAAGACUGGGAUAACUUCGGGAAACCGGAGCUAAUACCGGAUGAUAUUUUGAACCGCAUGGUUCAAAAGUGAAAGACGGUCUUGCUGUCACUUAUAGAUGGAUCCGCGCUGCAUUAGCUAGUUGGUAAGGUAACGGCUUACCAAGGCAACGAUGCAUAGCCGACCGAGAGGGUGAUCGGCCACACUGGAACUGAGACACGGUCCAGACUCCUACGGGAGGCAGCAGUAGGGAAUCUGCCGCAAUGGGCGAAAGCCUGACGGAGCAACGCCGCGUGAGUGAUGAAGGUCUUCGGAUCGUAAAACUCUGUUAUUAGGGAAGAACAUAUGUGUAAGUAACUGUGCACAUCUUGACGGUACCUAAUCAGAAAGCCACGGCGAACUACGU